GGUGAGGCUAGCUGGUG
rnacentral:miRNA from 1 species